CAGCACGGACUUCGGUCUGGUGGCGAGUGGCGAACGGGUGAGUAAUGUAUCGGAACGUGCCCAGUAGCGGGGGAUAACUACGCGAAAGCGUAGCUAAUACCGCAUACGCCCUACGGGGGAAAGCAGGGGAUCGCAAGACCUUGCACUAUUGGAGCGGCCGAUAUCGGAUUAGCUAGUUGGUGGGGUAACGGCUCACCAAGGCGACGAUCCGUAGCUGGUUUGAGAGGACGACCAGCCACACUGGGACUGAGACACGGCCCAGACUCCUACGGGAGGCAGCAGUGGGGAAUUUUGGACAAUGGGGGAAACCCUGAUCCAGCCAUCCCGCGUGUGCGAUGAAGGCCUUCGGGUUGUAAAGCACUUUUGGCAGGAAAGAAACGUCAUGGGUUAAUACCCCGUGAAACUGACGGUACCUGCAGAAUAAGCACCGGCUAACUACGUGCCAGCAGCCGCGGUAAUACGUAGGGUGCAAGCGUUAAUCGGAAUUACUGGGCGUAAAGCGUGCGCAGGCGGUUCGGAAAGAAAGAUGUGAAAUCCCAGAGCUUAACUUUGGAACUGCAUUUUUAACUACCGGGCUAGAGUGUGUCAGAGGGAGGUGGAAUUCCGCGUGUAGCAGUGAAAUGCGUAGAUAUGCGGAGGAACACCGAUGGCGAAGGCAG
rnacentral:rRNA from 1 species